rnacentral:rRNA from 1 species
GUCCACGCCCUAAACUAUGAUCACUCGAUGUGUGCGAUACACUGUACGCGUCUAAGCGAAAGCAUUAAGUGAUCCACCUGGGAAGUACGACCGCAAGGUUGAAACUCAAAGGAAUUGACGGGGGGCCCGCACAAGCGGAGGAGCAUGUGGUUUAAUUCGAUGAUACGCGAGGAACCUUACCUGGGCUUGAAAGUUAGUGAAUGCCGUAGAAACAUGGCAGCAAGCAAUUGCACGAAACUAGGUGCUGCAUGGCUGUCGU